ACAAAGAAAACGAAAUAGAGAAGAACAGGGGAGAAAGAAAGGGAAGAAAGGGAGAAAAGGGAAAAUCAAGGUUUUGAAGCUUGAACUUUAAUAGGUAAGUUAAUUUAGCUUUUUUUACAUCGUUUUGAUGUUUUAAAAGUUUUAGAACAAAGUUUUGAUGAAAUUACGUUGAUAUUUUGAAAGUUAUUAGAUUUCUAGGUAAUGUUCAUGUUGAGUAAAAUGAUGAAAUAAGGGUUAAAUUGAUAGAAAUUCAAGUUAGAAAUGAAAUAAGGAUUGAAUUGUAAACUAAUUCAUAAAUUUUAUGUUGUAGGGACUAAAUUGAUGAAAUUUCGAAAUUAGGAAAUAUGUUGGAAAAUCAAUAGUUGAGUAUGAGUUUGAACAAAAUUUGAAUAGAAAUGAAGUAUGAAUUAAGAUAGAAAAAGUAAGUGAAUUUAGUUAAGAUUAAAUUGAGAUUAAAGUAGAAAUUGAAUAGAAAUUGUAUUAAUUAGAUAUAAAUUAGUAGUGAAUUAAUGAAUAUGAAUUGUUUUAAUUCCCGUAGCUAAUGUUGUCUUGGGAAAUCUCGGCUAAGCAAGGAAAAAUGACAAAGACAAUGGGAGUUAGCUCGAGAAAAUAUGGUUUGUAUUUCUAUAAACCGAAUUUAAUAAUUAUUUGUUGAAUUUAUUAUUUAUAUGAAUGGUAAGUAUUAUUAUUAUUAUUAUUAUUAUGGUAUUAAACUGAAUAAAAAUUCAUAAAUUAUUAGUGAUUAUUGAUAUUGAAUAGAAUAUGUGAAUAUUGAAUGAAGAAUUGAAAAAUGUAUAUUGUAUUGAAAUUGAAUUACAUGUGAAUUGAUAUGGAAAGGUAUUGAAAUGAAGAGUAAGUAAAUUAAGAAUGGAAAGUGGAAAUUGAAAAUUGACUGGAUACCCUAUUAACAAUGUCGGGUUAGUCGGAUAUAGUUAGCAUGCCAUAGGAUCAGAGGAGUUAGGGAUAUUCCGACUGUGUGUCGAUGAGACAUUAUAUGUGUCGACUAUUGUGACUGUUCCGGAUUCGUUCUGAAGAGGUACUCUAUACCUGACUGUUACUGUUUCGAAUUUGUUCGGAUGAGGUACUUUGUGUACCGUUACUGUUACUGUUACCGAUACGAUGUAUUCCGGCUUCGACCGAUGAAACACCGUGAAAUAUCCCUGGUGUGUGGGUUGGAUUUAAGUCCGUGUAUUCGUCGGGUCCGAGUCAUGUUAAUAGGGAUAAUCAAGGAUAUCAAAGAAUGAAUGUUAUUAAUUUAUUAUUCAUUAACUUAAAGACUGCUUGAUUAUAUAACAAAUGAAGAUCACUGUAUAGUAAUGAAAGUAUAUUGAAGAUCGAUUAAUAAGGUUUUAAAGCUAAAUAAUGAAGAGUAAAUGGUUGAAGUAUUAAGAUUCUAAAGUAAUGCUUAAAGUUUAAGAAUACAUGAAUGUUGACUGCUAAUGAAAGGUAUAAAUGGACAAUAAAGGUAGACCGAAUCAAAUGGUAAGGUUUAUAUGUUAUGAAAUUAAGUUAUAUGACUAAAGUAUAGAGACUAUGAAGUUAAAGCUUAAAGCUCGAAUGUAUAUAUGAAUGACGGGUAUUAUUAUUUAGUGAUUUACAAGUUUAUUAUGAUUAAUAUAUGACUUAAUUAAAUGUUAAAUUUCUUACACUAUUCAGUACUUCUGUUUAUAGAAAUACCACUGAGUUUAUACUCAGCAUACGGUUUGUUUCCGUGCGCAGGUUAGGUUAAAGAAAGAUCGUCGAAUCAGCAUCCUAAGCCGAUCCCGGACUCAACAAGGUAAAAUAUGUUAAUUGUUGAUAAUGGCAUGUACCUAGGCUAUUAAGUUAAUAGAGUAAAAAUGUUCAAGAAUGGUUUAAAGAUAUUAGGUCUUAAAAUGAAAUAUACAUGCUUGAAAGUUAAUAUAAGUAAGUUGUUUAAGAUUGUAAACAAAAUUUUAAGUCAAUCUAGACUGUGGUACCAUUGAGAGAACAUUGGUUGAAUGUUUUAUUGUCAAGUUGGGUUAGCAUUAAAUAUGUUUAAUUGAGUUUUAAUCAUGUUGAGAGUCGGUAAAAAAAAUGUUAUCUUAAAGCUUACGUUUUUACAAGGUUAGUAACUUGCAAAACGAAGCUCAUCAUAAGUCCACACGGCCAGGUCACACGGGCGUGUCAUCAGAUCAUGUAAGACACAUGGCUCACGCACGGGCGUGCGCUUUGGCCGUGCAAAAUUAACCGAUUCUAAAGAAAAACAACACGGUGUUUCCACACGGACGUGUAAGAAGGGUACACGGGCGUGUCUCCUAGGUCACACGGGCGUGUGACACUAUUCACAAAAGGAAAUUUUUAAGUUUUCACGAAAAUUUUUAUAAGCUUCCGGUCGAACCCCGGUUGGAUUCAAAUGUUUAUAGUAAUCAAUAUAGGCCCAUUUAAGAUACAAAAUGACAUAAUUUUAAUUUAUUAUCAUAAUUAUCCCCGUCUAAUGUAUAAAAGUAUUGUAAAGACUGGUAAUGCUCCGUAAUCCUGUUCCGGCGACGGGACAAGGUUAAGGGGGUAUUACACUAAACCUAUUCGAAAUUGUUCAAAUAAAGGCUUCUCAAGUUUUAAAUUAUGUAUCCAUUAUUUUCGUUGACUAGUUAAGAAGUUCAAAUAAAGCGCAUGAAUGUUACUAGUUAAGAAGUUUACUUUUCGUUGACUCCCAAAAAUUCAAUAAAAAAGUUCAAGAACAAAAGGUCUUAGAUGUACAUUAUAUUGGCAUUUUGGGCUCAAUGCACGAAUCCACCCUCUCAACUUGGUUCUUAUUAGUUCAUUGGAGUACAAUGGCUUAUAAAAAAUGGGUCUCAUGGUCUUUCUUUCAGGAACUUGGAUUUGAUUCUUUUGAAAUAUCUUAAGUGUUGUUUCAUAAGUUGAGAAAUUAAGUAUUGAAAAUUUAACUAUUGAAAUUUAAGUUAUAAAAUUGUUUGACAUAUUACUUAAAUUAAUUAUGGAAUACAAUUAGAUUGUUUGAUAAAUAUAAAAUUUAAAUUAUAAAAAAUAAAUUUCACAUUUAUCCUUAAUUUUUAAACAUUUCAC
rnacentral:lncRNA from 1 species